CAAGCGCAGGGUUUGGUUCGGGGAAAAAAGGUUCAAAGGUUCGGCAGAAAUCGAACCCCGUCCAAAAGCCAAAUGUUAGGCCGAAUCCAAAGCCAAAUCCUGGAUUCGGUGCAUCCCUAAAAUAUGGCCAGG